GGUCUGGUGGCCUAGCGGUUAUGGCAUCUGCUUUACACGCAGAGGGUCGUGGGUUCAAUCCCCACCCGGAUCA
rnacentral:tRNA from 1 species